rnacentral:rRNA from 1 species
UACGGGGGGGGCAAGCGUUGUUCGGAAUUACUGGGCGUAAAGGGUUCGUAGGUGGCUGGCUAAGUCAGACGUGAAAUCCCUCAGCUUAACCGGGGAACUGCGUCCGAUACUGGAUGGCUUGAGUUCGGGAGAGGGAUGCGGAAUUCCAGGUGUAGCGGUGAAAUGCGUAGAUAUCUGGAGGAACACCGGUGGCGAAGGCGGCAUCCUGGACCGACACUGACGCUGAGGAGCGAAAGCCAGGGGAGCAAACGGG